GAUGAAGAACGCAGCGAAAUGCGAUAAGUAAUGUGAAUUGCAGAAUUCAGUGAAUCAUCGAAUCUUUGAACGCACCUUGCACCCUUUGGUAUUCCGAAGGGUAUGCUCGUUUGAGUGUCAUUGUACUCUCACACUUCUAAUUCCUUUCGGGAUUGGGAGCGGUGGACUUGGGUGUUGCUGCUUUAGUUGUGGCUCACCUCAAAUAAGUUAGUGCAACUCUUGGUUGGACAUAGUACGGCGUGAUAAGUGUCUUCGCCGGCGCCUCUGUAAGGAGGGUGGCCGAUCGGGAGCUCUGUGCUUCAAACCGUCUUCGGACAAUCUUUGACAACUUGACCUCAAAUCGAGUAGGACUACCCGCUGAACUUAAGCAUAUCAAUAAGCGAGGA
rnacentral:misc_RNA from 1 species